rnacentral:rRNA from 1 species
GAUGAACGCUAGCGGCAGGCCUAACACAUGCAAGUCGAGGGGUAGAAUUAGCUUGCUAAUUUGAGACCGGCGCACGGGUGCGUAACGCGUAUGCAAUCUGCCUUGUACUGAGGGAUAGCCCAGAGAAAUUUGGAUUAAUACCUCAUAGCAUUAUGAAAUCGCAUGGUUUAUAAUUAAAGUUCCAACGGUACAAGAUGAGCAUGCGUCCCAUUAGUUAGUUGGUAAGGUAACGGCUUACCAAGACGAUGAUGGGUAGGGGUCCUGAGAGGGAGAUCCCCCACACUGUACUGGAGACACGGACCGACGACUCCUACGGGAGGCAGCAGUGAGGAAUGAUUGGUCAGUGACGCAAGUCUGAACCAGCCAUGCCGCGUC